UAUGAACAACAGGGGCUCCACUGUCACCGCAUCCGAAGCAUGGGCAUAGAGCCUGUAACUCUGUCUGUACUGUGUCUAUUUAUGUCCACACAACUUCUAAAUACAUCGGAGCAAGUACAUUAAGUCACACUGAUGGCUUUACAAUGUAAAAAGAAGGAAAACUGAUUGUUUGAACUUCUUUAAAAAUUAAGUUUGGUCUAGUUGCUCUAUUUGUGUAAACAAUUGACAACAGUGACUCAAGUAACUGGGUCGUGAGUGUUGGAGCUGAUUUUUUUCACCUGAGAGUUGCCCCGGGCCCAAAAGCCCUCACCUUCCAACAUGCUUUCUGCGGCCUCCUAGCAAAACCUCUGGCAUGGUAUCCCUCAGUGGAAUGCCUCCUUGUGGGCAAAAAGAACUUCACAAGCAGAAUGGACAUUCCCAUGUCAAGUGCCUGUAGCCUUUCAGGUGGGAUCUUCAGCUACUACUUUAAAGUGGAGUUUGCGGUCCUCUCCUGAGCAACCUCAUCACAAACCUUCACUGAAAUCCACAAAGAACAGAGAUUUCCUAUUUAAAACAAAAUUAUGAUCCAUAGCAGCAAAAUAAACAAAAAAUCCCCAAGCCUUGAAACUCCCAC
rnacentral:lncRNA from 1 species